UACAGAGGGUGCGAGCGUUAAUCGGAAUUACUGGGCGUAAAGCGUGCGUAGACGGCUAUCUAAGUCGGGUGUGAAAGCCCCGGGCUCAACCUGGGAAUUGCAUUCGAGACUGAAUAGCUAGGGUGCGGUAGAGGGAAGCGGAAUUUCCGGUGUAGCGGUGAAAUGCGUAGAUAUCGGAAGGAACACCAGUGGCGAAGGCGGCUUCCUGGUCCAGCACCGACGUUCAGGCACGAAAGCGUGGGGAGCAAACAGG
rnacentral:rRNA from 1 species